rnacentral:rRNA from 1 species
UGGUCAAGUUAUUAAGGGUGCAGGGCGGAUGCCUUGGCACUAGGAGCCGAUGAAGGACGUGAUAAGCUGCGAUAAGCUUCGGGGAGUUGCACGUAAACUUUGAUCCGAAGAUUUCCGAAUGAGGAAACUCACUUAGAGUAAUGUCUAAGUAUCAUUAAGUGAAUACAUAGCUUAAUGAGGGGAACUCAGGGAACUGAAACAUCUAAGUACCUGAAGGAAGAGAAAGAAAUUCGAUUCCGUAAGUAGCGGCGAGCGAACGCGGAUUAGCCCAAACCAAUAAAGUUUUCUUUAUUGGGGUUGCGGACAUAUCAUAACGAAGAGGUAUCGUAAUUGAAGAGGUUUGGAAAGACCCACCACAGAAGGUAAUAGUCCUGUAUGUUAAACGAGAAGACUUUAGAUAUGAUCCAGAGUACCACGGGACACGUGAAACCCUGUGGGAAGCAGGAGGGACCACCCUCCAAGGCUAAAUACUACCUAGUGACCGAUAGCGUAUAGUACCGUGAGGGAAAGGUGAAAAGAACCCCGGGAGGGGAGUGAAAUAGAACCUGAAACCCUGCACUUACAAGCUGUGGAAGCACAUUUCUUGUGUGACCGCGUACUUUUUGUAGAACGGGCCAACGAGUUACGUUAAGUAGCAAGGUUAAGCACUUAAGGUGCGGAGCCGUAGCGAAAGCGAGUUUUAACUGAGCGGUCAGUUACUUGACGUAGACCCGAAACCGGGCGACCUACCCAUGAGCAGGAUGAAGCGAAAGUAAAAUUUCGUGGAGGUCCGAACCCACGAGCGUUGAAAAGCUCGGGGAUGACUUGUGGGUAGCGGUGAAAUUCCAAUCGAGCCCGGAGAUAGCUGGUUCUCCCCGAAAUAGCUUUAGGGCUAGCCUCAAGGUGAGAGAUACGGAGGUAGAGCACUGAAUGUCCUAGGGGGUAUUGCACCUACCGAAGACUAUCAAACUCCGAAUGCCGUCAUCUUAUACUUGGGAGUCAGACUGUGGGUGAUAAGAUUCAUAGUCGAAAGGGCAACAGCCCAGAUCGUCAGCUAAGGUCCCUAAAUGUAAGUUAAGUGGUAAAGGAUGUGGGAUUGCACAGACAACCAGGAUGUUGGCUUAGAAGCAGCCACUCAUUCAAGGUGUGCGUAAUAGCUCACUGGUCGAGUGAUCCUGCGCCGAAGAUUUCCGGGGCUAAAACUUACUACCGAAGCUACGGCAUCAGUAAUGAUGGGUAGGGGAGCUUCCCAUACGGGUUGAAGCAUGACCGUAAGGACAUGUGGAUAGUAUGGGAGUGAGAAUGUUGGCAUGAGUAGCGAGCUGUGGGUGGGAAUCCCACAGGCCGUAAACCCAAGGUUUCCAGGGGAAGGUUCGUCCGCCCUGGGUUAGUCGGGACCUAAGCUGAGGCCGAAAGGCGUAGGUGAUGGACAACAGGUUGAUAUUCCUGUACUACCGAU